UCCGGACUGGCCCAGAGAGGAGGGAAACCACCACUCAGGGCCGGAAAGCUCUCCAAACUCGGUCAUUUAGAGGAAGUAAAAGUCGUAACAAGGUCUCCGUUGGUGAACCAGCGGAGGGAUCAUUACCGAGUUUACAACUCCCCAAACCCAUGUGAACAUACCUACUGUUGCUUCGGCGGGAUUGCCCCGGGCGCCUCGUGUGCCCCGGAUCAGGCGCCCGCCUAGGAAACUUAACUCUUGUUUUAUUUUGGAAUCUUCUGAGUAGUUUUUACAAAUAAAUAAAAACUUUCAACAACGGAUCUCUUGGUUCUGGCAUCGAUGAAGAACGCAGCGAAAUGCGAUAAGUAAUGUGAAUUGCAGAAUUCAGUGAAUCAUCGAAUCUUUGAACGCACAUUGCGCCCGCCAGUAUUCUGGCGGGCAUGCCUGUCUGAGCGUCAUUUCAACCCUCAUGCCCCUAGGGCGUGGUGUUGGGGAUCGGCCAAAGCCCGCGAGGGACGGCCGGCCCCUAAAUCUAGUGGCGGACCCGUCGUGGCCUCCCCUGCGAAGUAGUGAUAUUCCGCAUCGGAGAGCGACGAGCCCCUGCCGUUAAACCCCCAACUUUCCAAGGUUGACCUCAGAUCAGGUAGGAAUACCCGCUGAACUUAAGCAUAUCAAUAAGCGGAGGAAAAGAAACCAACAGGGAUUGCCCUAGUAACGGCGAGUGAAGCGGCAACAGCUCAAAUUUGAAAUCUGGCGCAAGCCCGAGUUGUAAUUUGUAGAGGAUGUUUCUGGCGACGCGCCUUCCGAGUUCCCUGGAACGGGACGCCAUAGAGGGUGAGAGCCCCGUACGGUGGAU
rnacentral:rRNA from 1 species